rnacentral:rRNA from 1 species
CCCUUAGAUGUUCUGGGCUGCACGCGCGCUACACUGAUACCUUCAGCGAGUCCACCACCUUGCCUGGGAGGGUGGGGUAACCUCUGGAAAGUGCAUCGUGAUGGGGAUCGAUUAUUGUAAUUAUUAAUCUUCAACGAGGAAUUCCUAGUAAGCAUGUGUCAUCAGCCCGCGCUGAUUACGUCCCUGCCCUUUGUACACACCGCCCGUCGCUCCUACCGAUUGAAUGCUCAGGUGAGCCAUUCGGACUUUCAUCAUGCUGGUUUCCAGUUUUGAUGAAGGAAAGUCUUGCGAACCUUAUCAUUUAGAGGAAGGAGAAGUCGUAACA